AGAGUUUGAUCCUGGCUCAGGACGAACGCUGGCGGCGUGCUUAACACAUGCAAGUCGAACGGAAAGGCCCUUCGGGGUACUCGAGUGGCGAACGGGUGAGUAACACGUGGGUGAUCUGCCCUGCACUUUGGGAUAAGCCUGGGAAACUGGGUCUAAUACCGAAUAUGACCAUGCGCCUCCUGGUGUGUGGUGGAAAGCUUUUGCGGUGUGGGAUGGGCCCGCGGCCUAUCAGCUUGUUGGUGGGGUAAUGGCCUACCAAGGCGACGACGGGUAGCCGGCCUGAGAGGGUGACCGGCCACACUGGGACUGAGAUACGGCCCAGACUCCUACGGGAGGCAGCAGUGGGGAAUAUUGCACAAUGGGCGCAAGCCUGAUGCAGCGACGCCGCGUGAGGGAUGACGGCCUUCGGGUUGUAAACCUCUUUCAGCACAGACGAAGCGCAAGUGACGGUAUGUGCAGAAGAAGGACCGGCCAACUACGUGCCAGCAGCCGCGGUAAUACGUAGGGUCCGAGCGUUGUCCGGAAUUACUGGGCGUAAAGAGCUCGUAGGUGGUUUGUCGCGUUGUUCGUGAAAACUCACAGCUUAACUGUGGGCGUGCGGGCGAUACGGGCAGACUUGAGUACUGCAGGGGAGACUGGAAUUCCUGGUGUAGCGGUGGAAUGCGCAGAUAUCAGGAGGAACACCGGUGGCGAAGGCGGGUCUCUGGGCAGUAACUGACGCUGAGGAGCGAAAGCGUGGGUAGCGAACAGGAUUAGAUACCCUGGUAGUCC
rnacentral:rRNA from 1 species